rnacentral:rRNA from 1 species
GGACCCGCACAAGCGGUGGAGCAUGUGGUUUAAUUCGAUGCAACGCGAAGAACCUUACCUGGUCUUGACAUCCUGCGAAUUUCUGGGAAACCGGAAAGUGCCUUCGGGAGCGCAGUGACAGGUGGUGCAUGGCUGUCGUCAGCUCGUGUCGUGAGAUGUUGGGUUAAGUCCCGCAACGAGCGCAACCCACGUCUUUAGUUGCCAGCAUUUAGUUGGGCACUCUAGAGAGACCGCCGGUGAUAAACCGGAGGAAGGUGUGGAUGACGUCAAGUCAUCAUGCCCCUUACAUCCUGGGCUACACACGUACUACAAUGCUACGGACAAAGGGCAGCAAACUCGCGAGAGCUAGCAAAUCCCAUAAACCGUGGCUCAGUUCAGAUCGUAGGCUGCAACUCGCCUACGUGAAGGAGGAAUCGCUAG